GGGUCAGUAGGUUGGUCGUGCCACCGGUACGUACUGGUCUCACUGAUUCCUCCUUCCUGAAGAACCGUAAUGCCAUUAAUUUGGUGUUGCGGGGAAACAGGACUGUUACUUUAAAAAAAUUAGAGUAUUUAAAGCAAGCUAACGCUUGAAUACAUUAGCAUGGAAUAAUGAAAUAGGACGAUCGAUCCUAUUUUGUUGGUUUCUAGGAUUGACGUA
rnacentral:rRNA from 1 species